GCGCCGGUAGUUCAGGGGUAGAAUCUCAGUUUCCCACCCCCCACACGUGGAUGUGCCUACUGAGGGCCCGGGUUCGAGUCCCGGCCGGCGCA
rnacentral:tRNA from 1 species